rnacentral:misc_RNA from 1 species
UGACAGACUGUAUCCAUUGCAAUGACAGACGAUGCACGUGUCGAAUCCCUUGCUGAUGGGAUUCCAAAAACUUGGUCACUUCCUUGGCGAAACAAAUUAACUCUGUUUCCAUCUGCAUGAAUUUCCAUACCCACUGAAUGGCUAGGACCAGCACCAGAUGAGUCUCUCUGAUAUGGUGAACAGUGUGUAUCAAAAAAAUCUGAGUCACGAGCGCGUUUUGAAGGUCCAGCUGAAAAUUGUCUACCAUCUGUGACUUCAUCACCAUCGCGAUCAAUGACAGUUCCCUCUACGCUAUCAGCAGGUUGCAUCAAGUGAGGCCUAUCAUCUGAGCUGCCACCUAUUUCCAAGCUCCGCUUACGAGAACUAGGCCCUCGAGAUUCAUAUGAAGCAGCACGAUCACCAACCUCGCUGCCUGCAGGCUGACCUAUCAUUAAAUCUCUCCCCAUUUCAACAUCAUGAACAUUCUCAGGUAUUGCUACCCUGUCUGCCUGAGUAAAAGGUAAGCCUCCUGCCAUAGUAAGAUUCAGAUCAACUUCUGUGUUUUGCAGUGAUUUACCCUUGUCCGUUGUUGCCACCUCAUCACGGUCUUCGGUAUGUUCCUUAUCUGUAUCAUCAGCAGCAACCCAACCACUAAUUCCACUGGCAGCACUUACCCCACGUGUCAGUGCCAUUUUUUUGCUAGCAUCAGGAAUAUCAAUGUUGUUGGAAGGAAAACGAGCAGGUCGGGGAACAGUCAAGAAAUCCAAUAUCCUAACAGUAGCACCACAUAAGCUACAAUCUAGUAAGGGUGACCUGGAAUCACAUCUUGACUCAGCUAACAGUUUAUUCUUUCCAGCGUCUUUUUUUGCGGAAGCAGAAUGCGCUUUCUUGCUUAGACCAGGAUCAUGUGAAAGAUGGACUUGGGCCUGGGCAGGGCCAAAAGAACACCCGUUCCGAGCUGAUUGAGCAGAAUGAUCUUCACAGUCUUGAACAUUUAGGAGCCAUCUUGGUUCCCACCCACAAAGACUUGUAAGCUUCUGGGCACGAGAAUACAAACAGGAGGCCCCAUCUCUAGAAGUUUCAAGUUCAGGUAUGCCUUCCGACUUGAAGUCUCCUUCUCCAGAUGUAAAAUUCUGUGACUGGGACAAAAAACGAUCAACCACUGGACCCCGAGAAACCCGCAUCUGCUCAACUGCAGAUGCAGCAACGAUAGGAAGAAACUGAAAUUGCAAGAGCCCAUCACAUCUGUCUUUAUAUCCUCCAAUUAGAGCAGAUUGAGGAGUUGGAGGGAACUGCACCAAGCUAUCAGGACAGCUGUUACCUCUCCAAGGACAGCUGGCUUGGUGGCCAUCAUCCAACUGCUUGGCGAAUGCUUCACUAGCACUUUCAACUUCAGAAGGGAUCCAGGAUGGUAGCAAAACAAAACUCAGGCAUUCACCACAUGAUUCACACACAAUUUUAUCAAUGUCAAUAUUCAUCCAUUUGAGCAAAAGCCAAUGAAUUAGCAAUCUUAGGCUUUCCACACCAAUUCGACGGCUUAAAAGUAGCCAAACGCCUCAGCAGGUCCCCUCUUUCCCAUGGCCUACAUGAAGGCCUUGAUGAUCCCAGAACAGAACCACCAGCACUGGUGCUCAA